CGCGUAGGCGGUUUGUUAAGUCAGCUGUGAAAGCCCCGGGCUCAACCUGGGAACUGCAGUUGAUACUGGCCGACUAGAGUACGAGAGAGGGAGGUAGAAUUCCACGUGUAGCGGCGAAAUGCGUAGAUAUGUGGAGGAAUACCAGUGGCGAAGGCGGCCUCCUGGCUCGAUACUGACGCUGAGGUGCGAAAGCGUGGGGAGCAAACA
rnacentral:rRNA from 1 species